AUCUUCCUAGUAUUCAAUGUUAGUAUAAGUGACUUCCAAUCACCUGGUCUUGGUUAAAAUCCAAGGGAAGAUA
rnacentral:tRNA from 2 species